CUACGGGAGGCACCAGUGAGGAAUAUUGCACAAUGGGGGGAACCCUGAUGCAGCAACGCCGCGUGGAGGAUGACGCAUUUCGGUGUGUAAACUCCUUUUAUAUGUCAAGAAAAUGACGGUAGCAUAUGAAUAAGCACCGGCUAACUCCGUGCCAGCAGCCGCGGUAAUACGGAGGGUGCAAGCGUUACUCGGAAUCACUGGGCGUAAAGGACGCGUAGGCGGGUUGGAAAGUCAGGUGUGAAAUCCUACAGCUUAACCUGUAGAACUGCACUUGAAACUUCUAAUCUAGAGUAUGGGAGGGGGAGAUGGAAUUAGUGGUGUAGGGGUAAAAUCCGUAGAUAUCACUAGGAAUACCUAAAGCGAAGGCGAUCUCCUGGAACAGUACUGACGCUAAGGCGUGAAAGCGUGGGGAGCAAACAGGAUUAGAUACCCCGGUAGUC
rnacentral:rRNA from 1 species